rnacentral:rRNA from 1 species
UACGUAGGGCGCAAGCGUUGUCCGGAUUUAUUGGGCGUAAAGAGCUCGUAGGCGGUCUGUCACGUCGGCUGUGAAAACCCGAGGCUCAACCUCGGGCCUGCAGUCGAUACGGGCAGACUAGAGUGCGGUAGGGGAGACUGGAAUUCCUGGUGUAGCGGUGAAAUGCGCAGAUAUCAGGAGGAACACCGGUGGCGAAGGCGGGUCUC